rnacentral:rRNA from 1 species
AUUGAACGCUGGCGGCAGGCCUAACACAUGCAAGUCGAACGGUAGCACAGAGAGCUUGCUCUCGGGUGACGAGUGGCGGACGGGUGAGUAAUGUCUGGGAAACUGCCCGAUGGAGGGGGAUAACUACUGGAAACGGUAGCUAAUACCGCAUAACGUCGCAAGACCAAAGUGGGGGACCUUCGGGCCUCACACCAUCGGAUGUGCCCAGAUGGGAUUAGCUAGUAGGUGGGGUAAUGGCUCAGCGAGGCGACGAUCCCUAGCAGGUCUGAGAGGAUGACCAGCCACACUGGAAGUGAGACACGGUCCAGACUCCUACGGGAGGCAGCAGUGGGGAAUAUUGCACAAUGGGCGCGAGGCUGAUGCAGCCAUGCCGCGUGUAUGAAGAAGGCGGUAGGGUUGUAAAGUACUUUCAGCGGGGAGGAAGGCGGUGAAGUUAAUAACUUCACCGAUUGACGUUACCCGCAGAAGAAGCACCGGCUAACUCCGUGCCAGCCGCCGCCGUAA